UUUGAUUUGGACGGUUAUUUGUGUUCUCUGUCCUUCCUCUGAAAACCAUCACGACUCUAAAUCCUCCGUCCAACCAUCGCAAUCAACCGGAGAGCGAGAGAGAGAGAGUCGUAGGUUCGAUGGCCGGCGGCUCUGAUGUGGCGGUAGCAACUGCCCUAUCGUGUGUUCAAUGCGGGAAGCCUGCGCAUCUUCAGUGCCCAUAGUGCAUGGAAUUAAAGCUUCCUCGUGAAGGUGCUGCUUUCUGCACACAGGACUGCUUUAAGGCUUGUUGGAGCUCUCAUAAAUCAGUUCAUGUGAAGGCAAAAUUGUCCUCACUUGGGACUGGUUCUACAGGUGAACAAGAUUUAGGUGUACUUAAUGAAGGUUGGCAAUAUUGCUUAAGGAGAGGACAAUCUCGAACUCCAAAACUUCCUCAUUUUGAUUGGACAGGGUAUUUCUCUGGGAUUGCCUCUUUACCUUUGCUUUUCUGAUCUCAUUCUUUUAUCUUGGUGACAUUUCAUUCUCCUUUGACAAGGUUGGUAGCGUGAGGGAUCACAAUAUCUCUAUAUUAUGCUUACGUGACUUUAAAGAAUGUUCGAUCAGACAUGAUAUUGUUGAAUUUUGUUAAUUAACUAAACCACUUAUAAAUGAUUAAAUAUACAUAUUAAUAAUGAAAAUAUAGAAACUGACUUUGGUAAAGAGCUGCUUCCCAGUUGUAGGGGACAUCUUUGAUAAACCUGGUCAUUACUGAAAUUCUGGGAGGCAUGUUUUAUUUCAUAAAAGUAGAAGUAUUUUACAUUCUAAAAUUUCCCAUUUUUCCUUUUUGGAAUAAGACUGAAGCACUGUUUCUUCAUUUUAUGAAAGCACAAUGGAGUUUGUUUUUGCACAGGAAACUAAGACCUUAUCCUAUAUCUCCCAUGCGAGUAGUUCCAUCUCACAUUGAUCAACCUGACUGGGCAGUUGAUGUGAGUUUUUCAGUAGCUUCUUUCUAAAUUUGACUAGCAGCUCUAGUUGUUCUUUUAUUUUAAAGCAAUUUGAGAUGUAAGUAUGAAUACCAUUUAGUUAUUUAUAGUAAUAAUGUUUUUUGUUUUCUGUAGAAAUGGGUGUUUGCAUUUCAUAAUUUCAUAUCUUUUACUUUCUUCUUGUCUCUUUGCAACCCAAUACUGCACCACAUUUCCCCAGUGCUAGGAAUUCUCUUUAUUUUCAUCCCCACCUGCGCCCUUUUUCUAUUACAGUUGUCCCAUACAGCACUGGUAUACUUUUUCUCAUGCUAUAAUUUUCAGGCAAUCCCAAAGAUUUAACCCAACAAUGAUUUGCAGCGUGUUGUGGAGAUCAAAAGUCCAGAUCAAAUACAAAGAAUGCGAGAAACUUGUCGUGUAAGUUAUCCUCCAUCCUCUUCUUCCAUUAAAAAUAUACUCUAUAAAUUUGUUUUUCCUGCAUUUGCCUCAGAAUUUGCAUGCCAGUUUUAUAUUAUUAUCUAAAUGCUGUUCGCAUGUAUGUGCAAGGAACUCAGUGUGAGUGUGUUACAUACGCUUAAAUUUUUAUAAUGAGAUGGAAUAUGAUUAUUAGAAAACUGAAUUUUCAUGAUCAGAAACUAGCUUCUGCUGACAGGUAUUCUGUUGGAAAAAACAAAAAUGUGUUUUGAUUGCAAAAUCCUGGUCAUAGAUUGUCAGAAUACAAGUGCUAUGGGUAACCCAUUUUUGCAGCAUAGUAGAAUUGGAUGCAAUUUUGGAUCUUUAGAGACUUAUGUUGUAAAAAAAAUACCUUCUGAAUUACUUCUACCAGGUGAUAGUUAUGUGUAUUUUCUGAAGUUUUAGCUUGUCAUUCUACCUAAUUUUAAUUCUUCAUUGUGAAUGGGUGACUAAAAAUGCACUUUGUGGCCAUGUGCGAAACCUUAAAAACACCAUUUCCCCUGUUCUCUUUUUAUCCUUUUGGUCCAUUAAAAAUUGGAAGGCACAUUGGAUCUUGGUCUACCCAACAAUGGGUGGCCUUCUGCCAUCCAUAAACUGUAUCCCCAUUCCAAUUCUAUAUAUAUGAACAAUUCUCUGCAACAAUUGUUAUUUUCAGAUAGCAAGGGAGGUUUUGGAUGCAGCUUCUCAGGUCCGUCGUCCUGGUGUAACUACUGAUGAAAUUGAUCGAGUGGUUCAUGAGGCAACUAUUGCAGCAGGUCAAUUAAUGAAGUAAUCUGCCAUGGAAUUCCUGAUGCAAGGUGCAUGCUAAUUCCACCAUGUAAAAUUUUCUGGCACAAAAGCACUAGGAACUUGCUUUUAUGCUCUAAAUUCUGAUAGUAUGGUAUGACAUUAUGCAGUUUGCUCUGCAUGGCUAUUUUACCAUUCUAAUGGUGUGGUAACGGAAAAACACCAUUUAGUUAACCAGGGUAGAUUUAAUCAUUUCAAGUCAUAUAGUUAACCAUCUGGUUUACUAUUCUACAUCCCUUUUAUCCUGGCUGGACAGUCAUCAUGAUUGUUUUAGGUCAUUUUGACUGUCUGAUGUCUUCAUGAUAAAUUGUCUGAGUUAAACCUAAAUUUGUCUUAUUGCCCCAGGAAUUAAGGAUGGUGAUAUUGUAAAUGUGGAUGUGACUGUGUACUACAAAGGUGUCGAUGGUGAUCUCAAUGAAACAUAUCGUGUGGGAAAUGUUGAUGAAGCAUCUUGUCAGUUGGUCCAGUGUACUUUUGAAUGCUUGGAGAAAGCAAUAUCUAUUGGUAUAUGUUAUACGUUACAUUUGUGUUCUUGCUUUUUAUUCUGCUUUUGUUUGUAUGUAUAAGAAUUUGUUCUCUUAGUUGCACUUUAUAACGCAGGAGGCACAACUGCUUAUUAAGGGAAUUGCCUUAACAAUUUUUCCCAUUUUAAAUUUGAGUUGGGUGCAGAUUGCGUAUUUCAUUAGUUGAUGUAGACAACAUGUUUUUCUUUAAGAGCUUCAGAGUGUACCUUACUUAUUCUGCUUUUGCUGAACUGUGUCAGCAAUUUUAUGGAUUAUUAGCAACAAUCUCCUGUUUUGAAAUGUCUUUGUAAGAUGGGAAGUUCACUAGGUUCUCCCUUUUUUAUUUACAUUUGCAAAGGUUUGAUGAUUUAUGAGAAAAGUUUUUGACUCUGAUAUAUUUUUUCCUGUUUGAUGUUUAGUGAAACCUGGAGUGUGAUUUCAGGAAAUUGGAGAAGUUAUUAACCGUCAUGCUGCAAUGUCUGGAUCAUCUGUGGUAAAGUACUUGAGGCCAAAAAAUCUGUAUGCUUUUUGUAAGCUUGUUGGCCGUGUUGAUUGUUUCUUUGUUAAAACAGGUGAAAUCAUAUUGUGGUCAUCGUGUUGGAGAGCUCUUCCAUUGUGCACCAAAUAUUCCCCAUUAUGGAAGUAUCCUGAGUAAACAAAACUUUUAAAUCCAAUAUUUUUCGUAAUGAGAAUGCACUUAUUUUCAUAAGACUUUGACAGGGCAUAAUCUAUAAUGAUGAGAGAAUUGCAAGUUUAUCCCCCUUUUUUUUUGUGGUUUUCUGUGGCCCUUUAUGCUUUGUACACCUUAACCUAAUCAGGGAGUAAAGCUGUUGGUGUGAUGAAGGCUGGACAGACCUUUACCAUUGAACCUAUGAUCAAUGCAGGGGUUUGGCGUGAUCGGAUGUGGCCUGAUGGAUGGACUGCUGUUACCACGGAUGGCAAACGCAGUGCUCAGUUCGAGCACACUCUUUUGGUGACAGAAACUGGAGUUGAGGUUCUGACAGCACGGCUACCCUCAUCACCCAGUGUCUUCCCAUGGCUAAAUGCAUGAUUGGUCCUUUCAAGUAUUUUCACAACGUUAUCAUAUGUAUCUUAUCUUUCCGUAAUUUCGCGAGGAACCUGCUGCAAUGGACCCUUCAAGUGGAUGAGAAUAUCAUGCUUGAAACAAUUUAGGCAAUUUUAUUUUUUGCUUUAAAAAAAAAAAAACUCAUAUAAGUAAUUAAUGAUAUUUUUUAUUGCAAGAGUGUUGCUUUUAACAAAUUUUACAUCAUGAACCAAUGGAUAAUUUACAAAUAAGAAAUGGUUAUUGAAUUUGAAAAGAAUUAUAAUUGUAUUUAAAAUAAAGAGAUAAAAAUGAGGGAAAAUAACUAUUUUUGCUUACAAGCAAGUCAUUCAUUCAUUGGUUUUUUUUAUUUCAUGUAGAUUUGUCUAUGAGGAAUCAAACUCUAGAUAGAGCCUAUUGUCAUCAGCAACCCAGCAGGAGCCCUGUCGAGCAGGGGGCCUUGGACUUGGCUGCUAAUCUGGAACCUAAUUGAAGUCUUUGGCAGCACAAACUCAAAUGGCAAAGUGAAUUUGGGCCUUAGUUGCGCAAGUUAGAAGCGCUUUAAAGUCCAACGAAAGGUUUGAGUUUUGGCGGCCCAAAUUAAAAUCCAUUCUGCGGUUCAAUUAAAGUACUUUUGGGCCUUAAGCCUGAUAUGAAAGCACGAUUGAAGGUAUUGGGCCUCAAUGGCCUAAAUUUGGAAGCACAGAUGAAGUGGAAGUGGGUCUAACUGCGCAAAUACUACAGCCCAAUUGAAAUGGUAUUCGGCUUCAAAAGCCCGGUUAGUGUUUUGGGCUGCAACACCCAAAUUAAAAGGCUGAACUAAAGUGCCUUGGUGCUAAAUCUGCCGAAAAUUGAUCCGUUUGAAUGUGAUUGGGGCCUUAGGGGCCAAUUAGAAGCUCAGAUGAAGUCAUUUGGACCCCAAAUACGAAAGCCCAAAAUGGUAUUGGGUUUCAAAGGCCCAACUCAAAAACCUGUUAGUCUUUUGGGCCUCAACAACCGAACAAAAGGCCUAAUUGAAAUGCUUUUGGGCCUCAUGGGCCCAAAUUUGAAAUCCCAGUUAGCGUCAUAACUUUGCAUUCAAAAGAGGCUAUAAAAUCGUUUAU
rnacentral:misc_RNA from 1 species